CCUACGGGAGGCAGCAGUGGGGAAUAUUGCACAAUGGGGGAAACCCUGAUGCAGCGACGCCGCGUGAGUGAAGAAGUAAUUCGUUAUGUAAAGCUCUAUCAGCAGGGAAGAAAAUGACGGUACCUGAGUAAGAAUCCCCGGCUAACUACGUGCCAGCCGCCGCGGUACUACGUAGGGGGCAAGCGUUAUCCGGAUUUACUGGGUGUAAAGGGAGCGUAGACGGCAGUGCAAGUCUGGAGUGAAAGGCGGGGGCUCAACCCCCGGACUGCUCUGGAUACUGUACGGCUGGAGUGCAGGAGAGGUAAGUGGAAUUCCUAGUGUAGCGGUGAAAUGCGUAGAUAUUAGGAGGAACACCAGUGGCGAAGGCGGCUUACUGGACUGUAACUGACGUUGAGGCUCGAAAGCGUGGGGAGCAAACAGGAUUAGAUACCCCUGUAGUC
rnacentral:rRNA from 1 species